GAUGAACGCUGGCGGCGUGCUUAACACAUGCAAGUCGAACGAAGCACUUUAUUUGAUUUUCUUCGGAAAUGAAGAUUUUGUGACUGAGUGGCGGACGGGUGAGUAACGCGUGGAUAACCUGCCUCAUACAGGGGGAUAACAGCCGGAAACGGCUGCUAAUACCGCAUAAGCGCACGGUACCGCAUGGUACAGUGUGAAAAACUCCGGUGGUAUGGGAUGGAUCCGCGUCUGAUUAGCCAGUUGGCGGGGUAACGGCCCACCAAAGCGACGAUCAGUAGCCGACCUGAGAGGGUGAACGGCCACAUUGGGACUGAGAUACGGCCCAGACUCCUACGGGAGGCAGCAGUGGGGAAUAUUGGGCAAUGGGCGCAAGCCUGACCCAGCAACGCCGCGUGAAGGAAGAAGGCUUUCGGGGUUGUAAACUUCUUUUAAGAGGGAAGAGCAGAAGACGGUACCUCUAGAAUAAGCCACGGCUAACUACGUGCCAGCAGCCGC
rnacentral:rRNA from 1 species